GACGAACGCUGGCGGCGUGCUUAACACAUGCAAGUCGAACGGAAAGGCCCUGCUUUUGUGGGGUGCUCGAGUGGCGAACGGGUGAGUAACACGUGAGUAACCUGCCCUUGACUUAGGGAUAACUUCAGGAAACUGGGGCUAAUACCGGAUAGGAGCUCCUGCUGCAUGGUGGGGGUUGGAAAGUUUCGGCGGUUGGGGAUGGACUCGCGGCUUAUCAGCUUGUUGGUGGGGUAGUGGCUUACCAAGGCUUUGACGGGUAGCCGGCCUGAGAGGGUGACCGGCCACAUUGGGACUGAGAUACGGCGCAGACUCCUACGGGAGGCAGCAGGGGGGAAUAUUGCACAAUGGGCGGAAGCCUGAUGCAGCAACGCCGCGUGCGUGAUGACGGCCUUCGGGUUGUAAACCGCUUUCGCCUGUGACGAAGCGUGAGUGACGGUAAUGGGUAAAGAAGCACCGGCUAACUACGUG
rnacentral:rRNA from 1 species